rnacentral:tRNA from 1 species
GGGUUGGUAGCUUAGUCUGGGAGAGCGCGCGACUGAAGAUCGCGAGAUCGUGAGUUCAAAUCUCACCCAACCCA